GCGGAAAUGGUUUAAGGGUAAAAUCAGCGCUUCCCAUGCGCUGGCUCCGGGUUCGAGUCCCGGUUUCCGCA